rnacentral:rRNA from 1 species
GAUGAACGCUAGCUACAGGCUUAACACAUGCAAGUCGAGGGGCAGCAUGGUCUUAGCUUGCUAAGGCCGAUGGCGACCGGCGCACGGGUGAGUAACACGUAUCCAACCUGCCGUCUACUCUUGGACAGCCUUCUGAAAGGAAGAUUAAUACAAGAUGGCAUCAUGAGUCCGCAUGUUCACAUGAUUAAAGGUAUUCCGGUAGACGAUGGGGAUGCGUUCCAUUAGAUAGUAGGCGGGGUAACGGCCGACCUAGUCGUCGAUGGAUAGGGGUUCUGAGAGGAAGGGCCCCCACAUGGGAACUGAGACACGGUCCAAACUCCUACGGGAGGCAGCAGUGAGGAAUAUUGGUCAAUGGGCGAGAGCCUGAACCAGCCAAGUAGCGUGAAGGAUGACUGCCCUAUGGGUUGUAAACUUCUUUUAGAAAGGAAUAAAGUCGGGUAUGGAUACCCGUUUGCAUGUACUUUAUGAAUAAGGAUCGGCUAACUCCGUG